GACGAACGCUGGCGGCGUGCUUAACACAUGCAAGUCGAACGGUGAAGCUCCAGCUUGCUGGAGUGGAUCAGUGGCGAACGGGUGAGUAACACGUGAGCAACCUGCCCCUGACUCUGGAAUAAGCGCUGGAAACGGCGUCUAAUACUGGAUACGAGAAGGGUCCGCAUGGGCACUUUCUGGAAAGUUUUUCGGUUGGGGAUGGGCUCGCGGCCUAUCAGCUUGUUGGUGAGGUAAUGGCCCACCAAGGCGACGACGGGUAGCCGGCCUGAGAGGGCGACCGGCCACACUGGGACUGAGACACGGCCCAGACUCCUACGGGAGGCAGCAGUGGGGAAUAUUGCACAAUGGGCGAAAGCCUGAUGCAGCGACGCCGCGUGAGGGAUGACGGCCUUCGGGUUGUAAACCUCUUUCAGCAGGGAAGAAGCGAAAGUGACGGUACCUGAAGAAGAAGCACCGGCUAACUACGUG
rnacentral:rRNA from 1 species